ACCAGUACGAGUAAUCGGGCGCCGGGAAGAAACGCACCUUAUCGUAACACCUGAGAACAAUUUACAUGACUUCCGGACCAGAAUAUGCAUUUAUCCGUACCGCCGAGCUCAAAAAGAGGAAACCGUUUUUUUCCAUGGUUUUGAGAAGAAUUACACACAAGUUAUGCAAAUAUAUACAAAAAUUUCUUAAGCUGCGAAAGAAAAGAUGCUUUCGCGUGAUAUAUUCUGCAUACAGACAAUUCACGACAGCGAGGAAAUGGGAAAUUUAUUAAAAGAUUGAAUUAAAAGAACGUGCAGAAAAUGAAAAUAAUAAUAGCUACAUACUACGGAGGAUAAAAUCAAAAGGAAAACUGAGAAAGGCAUACGGGACGAAUCUAAAACUUGUGUACUUCAUUUUCUAAGAGAAACUGAAGAGAAAUAUUUACAAAAGAUGUCCUUAUCGCAAGGACCUGCGUUUAUCAGUAUCACUACAAUGUCUACUUUCGUUAGAGAGUGCAGAGAGAUAUAUGUAUACAUGACAACAACAUGCUACCGGUGCUUUCCAAGUUCAUUCGGGAGGACUUCCGGCCCCCCCCGAACACUUGUAAGCGAAAAUAUACAGGAGGAGAGUACCUUGAAGUAACUAGAAUCUCCAUAGGUGGCAAAUAUUUUCAUACUGUCUUUUAUAUCUUUGAAAAAAAUUUGUUCCAUCAUUUGUUACGUUAUUAUUUAUUCGAAAUAUAAAAAAAAAAGAAUUUUCAAUUAUACAUUUUCAUUAUUU